rnacentral:rRNA from 1 species
CGUGAACCUUUACUAUAGCUUGACACUGAACAUUGAGCCUUGAUGUGUAGGAUAGGUGGGAGGCUUUGAAGUGUGGACGCCAGUCUGCAUGGAGCCGACCUUGAAUACCACCCUUUAAUGUUUGAUGUUCUAACGUGGACCCGUGAUCCGGGUUGCGGACAGUGUCUGGUGGGUAGUUUGACUGGGGCGGUCUCCUCCUAAA